GAUGAACGCUAGCGGCAGGCCUAACACAUGCAAGUCGAGGGGUAGAGGAAGCUUGCUUCCUUGAGACCGGCGCACGGGUGCGUAACGCGUAUGCAAUCUACCUUUUACAGAGGGAUAGCCCAGAGAAAUUUGGAUUAAUACCUCAUAGUAUCUUUGCCUGGCAUCGGGUGAUUAUUAAAGUUACAACGGAAAAAGAUGAGCAUGCGUCCUAUUAGCUAGAUGGUAAGUUAACGGCUUACCAUGGCAACGAUAGGUAUGGGUCCUGAGAGGGAGAUCCCCCACACUGGUACUGAGACACGGACCAGACUCCUACGGGAGGCAGCAGUGAGGAAUAUUGGACAAUGGGCGCAAGCCUGAUCCAGCCAUGCCGCGUGCAGGAAGACGGUCCUAUGGAUUGUAAACUGCUUUUGUACGGGAAGAAACACUCCUACGUGUAGGAGCUUGACGGUACCGUAAGAAUAAGGAUCGGCUAACUCCGUGCCAGCAGCCGCCGUAACAC
rnacentral:rRNA from 1 species